GUGCUCAACGCCUUACGGCAUCACAGCGAGCGUCAC
rfam:Chondromyces crocatus strain Cm c5, complete genome.